AACGAACGCUGGCGGCAGGCUUAACACAUGCAAGUCGAACGCCCCGCAAGGGGAGUGGCAGACGGGUGAGUAACGCGUGGGAACAUACCCUUUUCUACGGAAUAGCUCUGGGAAACUGGAAUUAAUACCGUAUACGCCCUACGGGGGAAAGAUUUAUCGGGGAAGGAUUGGCCCGCGUUGGAUUAGCUAGUUGGUGGGGUAAAGGCCUACCAAGGCGACGAUCCAUAGCUGGUCUGAGAGGAUGAUCGGCCACAUUGGGACUGAGACACGGCCCAAACUCCUACGGGAGGCAGCAGUGGGGAAUAUUGGACAAUGGGCGCAAGCCUGAUCCAGCCAUGCCGCGUGAGUGAUGAAGGCCUUAGGGUUGUAAAGCUCUUUCACCGAUGAAGAUAAUGACGGUAGUCGGAGAAGAAGCCCCGGCUAACUUCGUG
rnacentral:rRNA from 1 species